rnacentral:lncRNA from 1 species
GUAAUUGUCGAUCUCCGUGCUCUCUAUGCAUAUGUAGUUCAUACCCCAGGGUUCCAGCGAGUCAGUGAACUGGUUUGUUGCACUCAAUAACUUCACGGAAUGCCAGAGCUGAUUUGUUUUGGAGCAGAGGAGGGGAAUAGAGGCCAGCUCUGGAAACAGAGCUGUGUUCCCAUGGUCCCAAAGAAAAAACUUGCCCUAAAUUUUAGGUGACAUUGAGGAAGGGACCAGACAACUCAUGUGCUGGUCACACACCAAACCCCACCUGGGGCCUCCACUCAGCAUCCUUGGGGAAUUCUGGGCCCCUUGACCCUUCAGCAGAUUGCUGAGAUCAGAUAGUGUGCUGGGAUGCAGGGAUGGGAGCCUGUGAUAUGUAUGGAGACCACUCUGGGUUUGUGCUACAGAAAGACGAAGCUGGCGAAGCAGGAUGCAGGUAGAUGGCUUCUCUUUCUGCAGCUCUGUGUCUCAUCUCUGCAAUGGGAAGGAAGAGUCCUUCCUGGGGCCCCGGAGCACACCUGCCUCAGCACCCGUCUUGAGCAGGGCUCUUCUGAGGCUGAGUCCUGGAUGAAUAGUCUAGGGCAAGAGGAUCAAAGAUACUCCAGGGUAACUGGGCUCAAGGGGUCGACUGAUGCUAACUCACAAGAGUUAAGAAUUGCCCUGGAACAAUUUACAGAGCAGCGGUUCCUUUUCCGUGGAUGGAGACUUCUCUCUGCUCCUUGGAGCUCCUUCUUGUUCCAGGAUGAUAUGGAAAGUGAUUCAUCAGGCCCAAGCCCAUGCUGGAUAAACCUCAACAACCGCUUGCUUCUGGGGCUCCUGCCACCCAUAGACCUUGCCCUGAGCUUGUGCUUCAGAGAGCCCCAGUCCAGCCCUCCUCCUGUGUGUGACUUUAAAAAACAAAAUAUGUACAUGCAUGGCUGAUUCAUGUCAAUAUAUAGCAAAAACCACUAUAAUAUUAUAAAGUAACUAGCCUCCAAUUAAAAUAAAUAA